rnacentral:lncRNA from 1 species
CAUCAGUGUAAACAUCCUCUCUGACGUCGCAAUGUUAAGACUUCUGUUGCCUUGGUCCCAUCUCAUUCUGACCCUGGGCUCAUUGGCCCUUACAAUUUAAUCUGAACAAUGGAACCAGAGACAUCAGCACUGUCCAGGCUCUCUGAUGAUCUUCAUCCUUCGCCAGCGGCAAUUCAUGAAAUAAAUACAGAGUUUUCUGAGGAAAGUACAAUAUACUCAGACCUCAAAGUUCAUUGUUCUUCAAAUAUCCAGAACGGAAAAAUAACUAAAACUUCGAAAACAAAAGUGUCUCCGUGGUGCAUUGCUGCUGUGAUAUUUGCCUUCCUUUAUAUAAUCACUCUGGUAAUAGUUGCAGCUAUGGUAGCUAAGAUUCAUUGUCUUGAGGAGAUCCUGCACGAGGCAGCCACUGAGACUGCACAUUGCAACAUAAUAUCACAAAACAAAGAUGGGACCAUCUACUUGCACGAAAAUAAGCUCAGGGAUGCCACUGAUUCAACAUUAUGGUGA